UUUCCUUGUUGGUUUUUCAAUAUAUUUACACUUUUCCAUCAUACCUACAGUAUACGUACUAGUUAGCACGAUUCUGCAAGAUACUGUAAUGAUAAGUACCAUUUAGAUAGUACUAGUCACCUGAAUGGCUAGUAGAAUAGUAAAUAUAGUACAUGAUAUUUGUUGAAUACGAACUAAUCGUAAAUAGAAGUUUUAAUCUCAUUCAGCGUUCUGA
rnacentral:misc_RNA from 1 species